UACAGAGGGUGCAAGCGUUUGUUCGGAAUUAUUGGGCGUAAAGCGCGUGUAGGCGGCUUUGCAAGUCGGGUGUGAAAGCCCUCAGCUCAACUGAGGAAGUGCGCCCGAAACUGCAGAGCUUGAGUGCCGGAGAGGGUGGCGGAAUUCCCCAAGUAGAGGUGAAAUGCGCAGAUAUCAGGAGGAACACCGGUGGCGAAGGCGGAUCUCUGGACCGUAACUGACGCUGAGACACGAAAGCGUGGGGAGCAAACAGGG
rnacentral:rRNA from 1 species